rnacentral:tRNA from 1 species
UCUGGCAUAGCUCAGUGGAAGAGCACCCGGCUCUCGGUCCGGGCGGACGCUGGUUCGAGCCCAGCUGUCAGAA